GCUAACUCGGUGCCAGACUCGGGGGGAAUGCAGAGGUUCCAAGUGUGUGUGUGUGUCAGUGGUCGUAAAUGGGGCGUGGGUGGUCGUGUAAGUCGGAUGUGAAAUCUACGAGCUGAAAUCGGGAAUGGCAGUGUAAACUACCCUGCUGGAGGGUCGGAGGGGGGACUGGAAUUCUCGGUGUAGCAGUGAAAUGCGGAGAUAUCGAGCGGAACACCAGUGGCGAAGGCGAGUCCCUGGACGACUCCUGACACUGAGGCACGAAAGCUAGGGGAGCAAACAGGAUUAGAUACCCGGGUAGUC
rnacentral:rRNA from 1 species